rnacentral:lncRNA from 1 species
GCUUAAACGUUAAGGAAAUCACUCAAAGAUAACCAGAGACGUUUAGGUUCUAGCGUGCUGAUGAUUUUCCCCAUAGAUUUGAAUCUAGGAUGGACGUUUUUAAGUCUUUAAAUCACAUGCAUUUUCCUGAUGCAUAACCCUUAAAAUGAACUAAACUUGCUGGGUUCAAAAAUAACUUACUAGUGCCUCUUAGGCUCUAGUUCCUUUUAACUUCUUAUGAACUCUAGGGAUUCCAAAGUUGGGUCUUUGUUCUAAAAUGCUAAGGGAUUGUUAGAACAUUAAACAAAUAAAUCACAUCUAAAAGGAAUCACAAAAUCAUGUGUUAAAAUUAAAUCCCAUUGCUU